UGCAGCGUCGCCUGAUCGGUUAAGGCACUUGCCUCAUAAGCAAGCCUCUGCGGGUUCGAGUCCCGCCGCUGCCA
rnacentral:tRNA from 1 species